rnacentral:rRNA from 1 species
AUUGAACGCUGGCGGCAGGCCUAACACAUGCAAGUCGAGCGGAGCGGCGGACGGGUGAGGAAGGCCUAGGAAUCUGCCAGGUAGUGGGGGAGAAGGUCCGGAAACGGGAGCUAAUACCGCAUACUAUCAGAAGAGGCUAUGUCGGAUGAGCUAGUUGGUGGGGUAAAGGCCUACCAAGGCGACGAUCCGUAACUGGUCUGAGAGGAUGAUCAGUCACACUGGAACUGAGACACGGUCCAGACUCCUACGGGAGGCAGCAGUGGGGAAUAUUUGACAAUGGGCGAAAGCCUGAUCCAGCCAUGCCGCGUGUGUGAAGAAGGUCUUCGGAUUGUAAAGCACUUUAAGUUGUGAGGCGUUACCAACAGAAUAAGCACCGGCUAACUUCGUGCCAGCCGCCGCGGUAGUUC